UCCCAGGUGGCUCAGACGGUCAAGAGUCUGCCUGCAAUGCAGAAGACCUGGGUUCGAUCCCUGGGUUGGGAA
rnacentral:tRNA from 1 species